UACGUAGGGGGCAAGCGUUGUCCGGAUUUAUUGGGCGUAAAGAGCGUGUAGGCGGCCAGGUAGGUCAGCUGUGAAAACUCGAGGCUCAACCUCGAGACGUCGGUUGAAACCACCUGGCUAGAGUCCGGAAGAGGAGAGAGGAAUUCCUGGUGUAGCGGUGAAAUGCGCAGAUAUCAGGAAGAACACCCGUGGCGAAAGCGGCUCUCUGGAACGGUACUGACGCUGAGACGCGAAAGCGUGGGGAGCGAACAGG
rnacentral:rRNA from 1 species